rnacentral:lncRNA from 1 species
GGGACUGUCUAUUUUACAUCCGGAUGAAAACCAAUUCACUUUCAGCCAUAUUUUUCCACCAGUUACAAGACGACAAGUGUCCCCCUGUCAUGUGUCCCCUGUUUGUUCUUAUUUGUCCCGCUUUUACACAGUCCAGCAACAUGUUCUUAACGGGUCCACACCCCAGCAUUUUCAGCCCCAACAUAAAGCAGGAAAAAAGGAGAAAAACACCCAACUUUGAAGCCAAGCUUUCCUAUGUCCACUAAGCUAAAGCUAACAAAGGGAGGAAAGGACCAAAAUGAAAUGACAAAAUACACACUGGAAAAGAACUAAUAUUACACUAAUAAUUCCAAUAAAGAGUUUCAGUUUAAUAUCCACUGAAAAAUGCACUGUAAAAUCUUUAUGUCCACUAAGAAUUACAGUGUAAAAUCCACUAAAAUUACACUGUAAAAUCCACUAAAAUUACACUAAGAUUUACAUUGUAAAUACCGCUAAAAAUAUACUAACAAUCCAAAUAAUUUGUACUAAAUUACACUAAGCAUCUCAGUGAAAAUCCACUAAGAAAAACACUGUAAAUCCAGUAGGAACUGCAGUGUAAAUCUACUUAGAAUUACAAUGGAAAUCCACUAAGAAAAACACUGUAAAUCUAGUAGGAACUGCAGUGUAAAUCCACCUAGAAUUACACUGUAAAUCUACUUAGAAUUACAGCGGAAAUCACUAAGAAAAACACUUUAAAUAUAGUAGGAAUUACAGUGUAAAUUCACUUAGAAUUACACUGUAAAUCCACUUAGAAUUACACUCGAAAUCCAGUAGGAAUUACACUAUAAAUCCACUAAGAAAAUGCAAUGUAAACACACCAGCAGAGAGGGUAAUUCCUCCAUGAUCUGGGACACAAAUCUGGAUGGAGAUGCAGAAAAAACACAGGUAAACACCGAACUCUUAUGCAUUCACUCCUCCAAGAUCUCUCUCCUACCUCAUGACAUCUGAAAGAAAAACAAGCUCCCUGUGAGGAUCAUUCACAUAUGUUGAAGAUCACAACUUAACAGAACAAAGAUUAGAACACAGGCAGAAAAGAUAGCAUGAAGCAGGAGAAACCCUAGGAACAACUAGACUAUGAACACACAAACUACUAGUCUAUGGUCACAGGAAUAACACUUUGGAACACUACAUUCUGAAAACUAGUUGCAAAAUUAGUGCUCUGAAAUUCGCAGCUAUAGCCACAACACGGGGCAAAAUAAAAGUUUGGGGAUGAGAGGGGGCAUGUUCAGGAAGCUAUGAAUUCCAUUUAGGAAAAACUUGUUCAAACAAAAAGAGUGGUACUGCUGUAACUUCAGAAACUUUGGUGCUGAGAAACUGUACAUUGUUCAGAUACUUUUGAUCAUGUUUAGACACUUAUAUCUGUGAAUCUAUGACUGUAUUUUAGACAUGGCAGAUUAGAUUUCAGUAUAAAGAUGUGAAUACAUGACUAUAUUUUAGAAACUAUGGUACUGUACAAAGUUAUAGUUCAAAUUACUAUGAUCUGAUACUAGUUCACAAUGACUAAUCAGCCAUGAAAAUUAACAGUGAAAGUAAAAUGAUCACAAAAAGGACCGAGGACAAUCAGGUUAAGUACUGACACUAGUUGACACUAACAAAAGAAACUAUAUACUGAAAUCAAAUUAUUGUGACUUGUUUGAUCAAUUUACUCUGACCUUCUCUAUGUAAUUACUCUGCAUCCUACCUUGUAAAUUACAAGCUCUGAUUUACACAUAAAUAGAAGAAAUCAAAAACUUGUGUAUGAAGAGACUACUGGAAUUGACACAAAUAACUCUGGUUUCAAAGACAAAAUGUACAAAAAAUCCUUGCCAAUGACUUGCAACAUGCUUUACUGCAUUUCUGAUAUACUUGUUGCACCCGACAUAUGCAUAAACAUGCAUACAUGCAAAAAGGGACACAUGGGGACAGCAGAAAUGCUCUUGUUUAUUCUACAACACUUCAUUACAUAUACUUUCUGGAAACAUUGAGUGCAGGUGCCUGCAAUCGAAUUAGAUGCAAUGGAAUAUAGCAUCAAAGGGCAGUCACUGUACCUCGAAGAGAGUAUGACAAAUGCACUAUUCAAAAGGGGGAGUGGGGGCUAAAUUCAGUGCAACAAGCUUCCUAAGAGAGUAUGACAAGCUAAUAGAAGUCAUUCAUGAGAGGGAGCAAGAAUGUGAUCACUUGUCUAGAAACAAAAAGGAUGCCCACAAGAAGUUCUGGUCCAAAUACAGUUUAGAAAGACAAGUGCACGAGCUCUACAACAUUCGUAUCUUCAGGAAGUUCCAAAAGAAAAUGGAAGAUACAACGAGGUUGCAUGUGUUUGAGCUUGAAAAAGAGAAAAACCCUACAUGGUUUAUCAAGCUGAGACCUAUCAUUCGAGAGAACUAAGAAGAAGAAAGUUCCUAGUACAGAUAGAUUUGAUGCAAGAGAAGUACUCAUGCAUGAUGCAUCUGCUGCGCAUUUCACGAGGAUGGAAUCCUAUCCUAACACAUACUCAGAGUGAGAUGAUCUAAUUGAACAUAGAGAGGAUACCUGACAAGUAUAUCAUAGACAGAUGGAGUCGAUGAUCAUGAUACACAAGCCUCCUCCCAUUUUUGAUGAAAACUCAACACUGAUAUACAAUGUGCUGCAAAGGAAACUCGUCUAUGUGGCUUCUCUGAACAAUUUACACUGCCAUUAGGAUAAAUAACAAGGGGUCCCUGCCCACAGGCCUUAUAUGACAUAAAUGUGAUAAAAAAAUUACAGUAGAAUUACACUGCAAUUUAUCUUGGAAAAAUACAGUACAUAGACAGUAAGAACAAAAAUUCAGGUUAAUUACACUUAACACACAGGUUAAACACUGAGUGUAAUUACAUUGCAAAUUACACUAAAUUUACAGUGUAAUUACACUGCAAUUUAGACUGCAAAAUUUUAGUACAUAGACUGUAACUAAAAAAUAGGUUAAUUACACUGAAUACAUUGCAAAUUAGACUGGAAAAUUUCAGUGCAUAGACUGUAAGUACAAAAAUUCAGGUUGGUUACACAUAAUAAACAAAUUAAUUACACUGAAAGUCCAGUGUAAUUACACUGCAUGUUAGACCGGAAAAUUCCAGUACAUAGACUGUAAGUACAAAAAUUACAGGUUAGCUACACUAAUUUAUAGUGUAAAUUAAUGGUGGGGUUAAGCCCUUGUUCAGUUUAACACAGAUUGGAAGUUACAAGAAACAAAAUUACAGUGAGAGAAAAGUCUAUAUACCUGAACCAACAGUAAAAAAUAUCACUGUAAAUUUGAACUGAAAACAACAUUUGUGCUAAUACAUUACACUAGACUAAAAAAUGAAACUAUAAUGAAAAUCCACUCGAAAUUACACUAGAAAUUACAGUCCGAAACACUGAAACUAAAACAGAAUUUUUUUCAGACCAACACGUACACAUCAGGAGACUCAACCGACUAGGAGAUUCAACAUUUGCAUGCCUACAUCUAUCAUCAUUAAAUUAUUUUCUCUAUGUACUGGAAAAUUCAGUUAAUGUACCACCAUGUAAACAAAAGUAUAAAACAAUGAAAGCACACAAUUCAGUUAAAUGUACCACCAUCUACACUGAAAGUUACACAGAGAUAUCAGUGAAAUUUAAAUAGAGAUAUAACUAUAGUACAGACCAAACAACUGUUGCUUAAUUGAAGAAAUUCAGUCCAGAAUAAACCUAAAUAAUACAUUUACACUUGCCAAUUACAGUGAAAAACAAGUGUAAGAUAGACUACUAUAGACUAAAACUACAGUAGAGAUAUCACUGUAAAAUUAAACCGAACAUUACAUUUACAAUGGCCAUUCACUAUUGCAGUCUAUUGUAGCCAAACAGCUGUUACUUAAUUACAGUGAAAUCCACUCAAAAUUACACUGCAGUAGUACAGACCAAAUACCUAUUACUUAACUGAAGAAAUUCAGUUCAGAAUCAAACAACAGGUGAAAAGCGAAGCAACCAUACAUCCACAUCAGAAAUUACACUAGAUAACCACACAUCUACAUCAAAAACAGGCUAGACCAGACAAACAUCAAGCUACCACACUAGCAGCCGCCAAUGGAUCAACACCGCUAAUUGAAAGGCCUCAACAGGAAAACUACAUCUACAUUCGGAAGAAGAAAUCAAAAUAGACAAGAGGGAUCCACCGCUAAAUUUACAUGUGCAACAAAAAGUACCACACACGACAAAUGCAAGUAGACGAAUACAACGAGACAAUCAACCAGAUCUACCAAAUCACACAGAAAAAUGAAGGGAAAAUGAAAGNNNNNNNNNNNNNNNNNNNNNNNNNNNNNNNNNNNNNNNNNNNNNNNNNNNNNNNNNNNNNNNNNNNNNNNNNNNNNNNNNNNNNNNNNNNNNNNNNNNNNNNNNNNNNNNNNNNNNNNNNNNGUGCUUGCAAACCAACAACCUCAGGUAGGGGACGGGGGGAGAGACGCAGGGCUUGUCGACCACCACGAAAGAAGGAGCGUCACGAAUCAAACGACCCGAGAAGAAACCGCAGCCAAAUCGCCAUGGCGUCGACUUCGCCUCUCCCUCUCUCCCUGACAAGAACAGAGGUGAAUCAAAUCAGAGCACGAGCUUGGAGAUAAGCAGCCAGGAGAGGAUGCUGAAAUCUGAGAUGGGCUCUAGGCCCAUAUUGCAAUUUCUGAAAAAUCUCUAAGGGCCCAUGUGGGUUAUAUGGCACUAGGUGUGUGGGAAGUUUAGUCCCACCUUGGAAGUGGAAGGAGAGUUGGAGUGGUUUAUAAGGGACUCUCUCCCUCAUGCUAUUGGAGCUUGAGAAGAGAUGAGGCCCUCGCGCACUCCUCCUCCUCCGCUCGCCUCGCCGCGGGUUGCGGGAUUGAGCCGAGCCGAGCUCACUCCUAUGCGAUUCUUUUUGCCGGUCAGGAACGGAGAGUCUUUGACAGGUGGGGCCACGAUCUGAGACGUCGGAUCGUGGGCUACCGACUUGGACGUGGGUUCAGCCCACGUCUCUCCACGCGCGGCCGCACAUAUAUAUGUGGGGCGCUGCCAACCCUAGCCGUCACGAAACAGAACGCAUCUCCGCCUCCACGCCCACGUCGUUCCUCUGCUGCUGCUGCCGCCGGCGACUCCGUCCCGUUCACCGCGUACACGGUUGACGGGAGAGCAGGCCUCCGAAACCACGCCUCUCCGGAUCCUGUACGGGGAGAGGGGCGAUUAGGUUUUUGGGUAGCGACUACGCGACUGCUCGCUUCUGUUCAUCUACGUCCGCAUCACCUUCAUCAUCACCAUGUCGACCGACACCGACCGUGCCGCUGCUGAGAAAGCCGAGGCCGACAAGAAGGCCGCCGAGGAUGCCGCGGCUGUUGUCACCGCCACCGCCACCGCGUGGCCGAUUGGAGGGUAUACAUCGCUUAUCCCUCUCGUGUUUCUUUCUGUUGUAGCAGUACUAGCGGUAUGCGUAGAUGUCUCUACUAUAUGCGUAGUACAUGCUCUGUUAGAUCAUAAUCAGUAUGUUAUCAAUGCUGUCCAUGUCAUGCUCAUGAUUUAUUCAUGGAUUAAUUUAAUCGGAAAACUGCCUAUUUUCUCAUCAAUCCAAAAACCUAAUAUCUGUAGGAGUUUUUCGAAUUCUGGUUUUGCUGCUGCACUGAAACCGUCCCCGUUUACGGGGACGUACUUUAAGCGUUGGCAGACUAAAACCACCUUAUGGCUCACGGCCAUGAACGUGUUCUGGGUCGCCGGUGUGACUCCUACAGGAACGAUCGCUCCUGAACAGGAGAAGGCGUUUAAGGAGGCCACCGUGGUGUUCCUCGGGGCAGUUCUGAGCGUGAUUGGAGAUAAGCUGGUUGAUGCAUAUUUACAUAUGUGGUCUGCCAAGGACUUGUGGGAGGCGCUCGAAUCUAAGUUCGGGGCUGCCGAUGCAGGGAGCGAGAUGUAUAUUAUAGAGCAGUUCCACGAUUACAAGAUGGUUGAAAACCGUCCUGUAUUGGAGCAGGCUCAUGAGAUAAUAUGCAUUGUUAAGGAGCUUGAGCUUCUUAAGUGCGAGUUACCGGGCAAAUUUGUCGCGGGCUGCAUAAUCGCUAAGCUCCCCAAUUCCUGGAGGAACUUUGCCACCACUCUGAAACAUCAGAGGCGUGAAUUCUCUGUGGAGGAUGUCAUUGGCCAUCUGAGUGUUGAGCAGAACUCAAGGGCAAAGGACUCGCACGGAAAAGGGGUCGAAGGAACUUCUGUGGCCAAUAUGGUGCAUCAGAAGAACUCCAAUUCCCACAAGCCCAGGGGAAAGAACGGUGUCCAACAGACUGCCGACUUUAAGAAGAAGGGUAAGAAGACCUUCAAGAAGAACAAGAAGGAUGAGGGCUGCUUUACUUGUGGUUCGGCUGAACAUUGGGCCAACAAGUGCCCAAACAAGUUUAAGAAGUCAGGACAGGACUCCAAGUCUGUCAACAUGAUUGUGAGCAACAAUGAGAAUGGUGCAUCUGGGUACGGUAAUUUAUUUACUGUUUUUCAGUGUUUCAGCCUACCGAUUGGUGGGUGGAUACAGGUGCAGGUGUUCAUGUGUGUGCUGACAUUUCAUUGUUCUCUUCUUACCAGGUCACAGGCCACGGGUCCGUAUUGAUGGGGAAUGGCGCGAGUGCUUCUGUUCAUGGUGUUGGCACGGUCGAUCUGAAGUUUACUUCGGGAAGGAUCGUGCAGCUGAAGAACGUGCAGCAUGUCCCCGCCAUCAAGAAGAACCUCGUUAGUGGCUCCCUUCUAUGUAGAGAAGGGUUUAAGUUGGUAUUCGAGUCUAAUAAAUUAGUUGUUACUAAGUAUGGACUAUUUGUUGGAAAAGGUUAUGAGAGCGGAGGGAUGUUCCGCCUUUCCCUCGCAGAUUUCUGUAAUAAAGUCGUGAACCAUAUUCAUUCGAGUAUUAAUGAAUCUGAGGUUUGGCACUCACGUCUUUGUCACAUAAGUUUCGGUGUUAUGACGCGGCUAGCCAAGUUGGAUUUAAUCCCGAGUUUCACUUUAGCCAAAGGUUCUAAGUGCCUUUCAUGUGUGCAAGCUAAGCAACCUCGCAAGCCUCAUAAGGCCGCGGAGGAGAGACACCUGGCACCAUUAGAACUCAUACAUUCUGAUCUUUGUGAGAUGAAUGGUGUGUUGACUAAAGGUGGAAAGAGAUACUUCAUGACAUUGAUAGAUGAUUCCACGAGAUAUUGCUAUGUGUAUCUGUUAAAUACUAAAGAUGAGGCUCUACACUACUUUAAAAUCUAUAAGGCAGAAGUUGAAAAUCAACUUGAAAAGAAAAUUAAACGAGUCCGGUCAGAUCGUGGUGGAGAGUACUUCUCGAGUGAGUUUGAUUCCUUCUGUGCGGAACACGGCAUUAUUCAUGAGAGGACGCCUCCCUAUUCACCCCAGUCAAACGGGGUUGCCGAGCGGAAAAACCGUACUCUAACUGAUUUGGUUAACGCCAUGUUAGAUACAUCGGGUUUAUCCAAGGCAUGGUGGGUGGAGGCUAUAUUGACGGCAUGUCAUGUCCUGAAUAAAGUUCCGACAAAGGAUAGUGAGAUCACUCCCUAUGAGAAAUGGGCAAAGAGAAGGACGACACUCUCGUACUUGCGCACUUGGGGCUGUUUGGCGAAAGUCAACGUGCCGAUCCCCAAAAAGCGUAAGCUUGGACAUAAGACCGUGGACUGCAUUAAUUUGGGCUACGCUAAGAACAGCGUUGGCUAUAGAUUUCUAGUAGUGAAAUCUGAGGUACUUGACCAGAAGAUCGGUACAAUUAUGGAGUCUAAGGAUGCUACAUUCUUUGAGGAUAUUUUUCCUAUGAGAGAUAUGCAAAGCACUUCUAGACAGGAAUCUGAGGAGACUCCUGAACCUGCCAUCCCUAUGGAAUAUUAUGAACAAACACAUGAUGAAAAUCCCGAGGAGGAUGACGAGGAAACCCUUGGUAGGGGCAAGAGACAAAGGACUGCAAAGACCUUUGGUGAUGAUUUCUUCGUGUACCUCGUGGAUGAUACUCCCACUUCUAUUUCAGAAGCGUAUGCCUCUCCAGAAGCUGACUACUGGAAGGAUGCGGUCCGUAGCGAGAUGGAUUUCAUCAUGGCUAACGGGACAUGGGAGAUCACUAACCGUCCCUAUGGUUGCAAACCACUGGGAUGUAAGUGGGUGUUCAAAAAGAAGCUUAGGCCCGAUGGUACGAUUGAAAAGUACAAGGCUAGGCUUGUGGCCAAGGGCUAUGACCAGCAAGAAGAGGAAGAUUUCUUUGAUACUUAUUCACCUGUGGCUAGACUGACCACCAUUCGAGUAUUACUCUCGGUUGCGGCCUCACAUGGUCUUCUCGUCCAUCAGAUGGAUGUUAAGACGGCUUUUCUAAAUGGAGAGCUAAAGGAGGAAAUCUACAUGCAACAGCCUGAUGGCUUUGUGAUAGAUGGUCAGGAAAGAAAGGUGUGUAGGUUGAUAAAAUCUUUAUAUGGCCUGAAACAAGCACCUAAGCAAUGGCAUGAUAAGUUUAAUACAACUCUGACAUCUGUUGGUUUCGUUGUUAAUGAGGCUGACAAAUGUGUAUACUAUCGCCAUGGUGGGGGCGAAGGAGUUAUACUGUGCUUGUAUGUUGAUGACAUACUGAUAUUCGGAACAAACCUCAAAGUCAUUGAGGAGGUCAAAUCGUUUCUAUCUCAGAACUUUGAGAUGAAAGACCUUGGUGUGGCUGAUGUUAUCUUGAACAUCAAGCUACUGAGAGAUAAUGAGGGUGGGAUCACACUUCUGCAAUCCCAUUACGUUGAGAAGGUGUUGAGUCGUUUUGGAUAUUCGGACUGCACACCAUCUCAAACACCAUAUGAUCCUAGCGUAUUGAUUCGAAAGUCCAAAGGCAUGGCUAAAGAUCAAUUGAGAUACUCUCAAAUCAUUGGUUCACUGAUGUACCUAGCGAGCGCAACGAGGCCUGACAUCGCGAUUGCUGUGAGCAAACUGAGCCGGUUUGUUUCCAAACCGGGUGAUGUACAUUGGCAUGCUGUUGAGAGAGUUAUGCGCUAUCUGAAAGGUACUAUGAACUAUGGACUUCACUAUACCGGAUACCCGUCGGUACUUGAAGGGUAUAGUGAUGCGAAUUGGAUCUCUGAUGCUGAUGAGAUGAAGGCCACAACUGGGUAUAUGUUUACUCUUGGAGGUGGCGCUGUUUCCUGGAAGUCUUGCAAGCAAACGAUCUUAACGAGAUCGACAAUGGAAGCAGAAUUAACGGCAUUAGACACAUCUGGUGUUGAAGCGAGAUGGCUUCGAGAUCUUUUGAUGGACUUGCCAUUGGUUGAUAAACCGGUUCCGGCUAUCCUUAUGAACUGUGACAAUCAGACUGUCAUCACCAAGGUGAAGAGUUCAAAGGACAACAUGAAGUCCACCAAACACAUAAGAAUGAGAUUAAAAGCUGUCAGAAAAUUAAGAAACUCCGGAGUGAUAGCGUUGGACUAUGUCCAUACGGCUAAGAAUCUGGCAGAUCCCUUUACGAAAGGGCUAUCACGUGUAGUGAUAGAUAGUGCAUCGAGGGAGAUGGGUAUGAAACCCACAUGAGUUACCAUGGUGGUAACCCAACCUAUGUGAUCGGAGAUCCCGUGAAGUAGGACCUGGGGAAACAAGCCAGUGGUGAACUGAGGAGAGUAACUUUACUAACCCACUCCGUUGGAGAUGCAAUACUCUCGGAAACUGUACGGAAGGAUGACUAUUGUCUUAAUGUGUUCCAAGGCUUAUAUGUAUAAGCAAGAUGCUAUCCUACAGAGCGAUCUUUGAAGGAACACACCUAUGUGAGCCCGACUGCUAGUCACAGUCUAUGAGAUUGGGGUGAUCUCUAGUAAACUCAUGAAUAGGCCAGGAGUGUGACUUAUAUGCUCCACCCGAGGGGUCAGCCUUCGGCAGCCCAGUACUAGUAAGACAUGUGGUGAAACUUCUUUACGCCAAACUGACAAUUCAAGGCAUAGUCCAUUGUUCAGUUGUGAAGGAAUGUAGCUACUUGCUCUAGGUGAAGCUCAACCUUAAUAGGUCUUCACUGAAACACUAGUAUAUCAAAACAGUAUUUGGAACAGAGGACACUAUGGGCCCUCGAGAUCUGGUGGGGGAUUGCUGAAAUCUGAGAUGGGCUCUAGGCCCAUAUUGCAAUUUCUGAAAAAUCUCUAAGGGCCCAUGUGGGUUAUAUGGCACUAGGUGUGUGGGAAGUUUAGUCCCACCUUGGAAGUGGAAGGAGAGUUGGAGUGGUUUAUAAGGGACUCUCUCCCUCAUGCUAUUGGAGCUUGAGAAGAGAUGAGGCCCUCGCGCACUCCUCCUCCUCCGCUCGCCUCGCCACGCCACGCCUUGCCACGACGCGCCGCGGGUUGCGGGAUUGAGCCGAGCCGAGCUCACUCCUAUGCGCUUCUUUUUGCCGGUCAGGAACGGAGAGUCUUUGACAGGUGGGGCCACGAUCUGAGACGUCGGAUCGUGGGCUACCGACUUGGAUGUGGGUUCAGCCCACGUCUCUCCACGCGCGGCCGCACAUAUAUAUGUGGGGCGCUGCCAACCCUAGCCGUCACGAAACAGAACGCAUCUCCGCCUCCACGCCCACGUCGUUCCUCUGCUGCUGCUGCCGCCGGCGACUCCGUCCCGUUCACCGCGUACACGGUUGACGGGAGAGCAGGCCUCCGAAACCACGCCUCUCCGGAUCCUGUACGGGGAGAGGGGCGAUUAGGUUUUUGGGUAGCGACUACGCGACUGCUCGCUUCUGUUCAUCUACGUCCGCAUCACCUUCAUCAUCACCAUGUCGACCGACACCGACCGUGCCGCUGCUGAGAAAGCCGAGGCCGACAAGAAGGCCGCCGAGGAUGCCGCGGCUGCUGUCACCGCCACCGCCACCGCGUGGCCGAUUGGAGGGUAUACAUCGCUUAUCCCUCUCGUGUUUCUUUCUGUUGUAGCAGUACUAGCGGUAUGCGUAGAUGUCUCUACUAUAUGCGUAGUACAUGCUCUGUUAGAUCAUAAUCAGUAUGUUAUCAAUGCUGUCCAUGUCAUGCUCAUGAUUUAUUCAUGGAUUAAUUUAAUCGGAAAACUGCCUAUUUUCUCAUCAGAGGAGGGGGGAGAACCGCGGGCCUGACCACCAAAGUGCCUCGAGAGAUCAGCGAGUGAGGCCUCCAACCAAAAUCGCCAUGCCUCUCUGCCUCCGAGCUCUCGCCGCUAGAAAUGGGGAACGAUCCAGUCAAAGGCAGCUACAGGGGGAGAAAAAGAAAAAUUCAAAGUAAAAGAGACAUGUCGACCAGGAGACGCGACCCG